AACUUUCAACAACGGAUCUCUUGGCUCUCGCAUCGAUGAAGAACGCAGCGAAAUGCGAUAAGUAAUGUGAAUUGCAGAAUUCAGUGAAUCAUCGAAUCUUUGAACGCACCUUGCGCCCCUUGGCAUUCCGAGGGGCACGCCUGUUUGAGUGUCG
rnacentral:rRNA from 4 species